CCUACGGGCGGCAGCAGUGAGGAAUAAUGGUCAAUGGCCGGGAGGCUGAACCAGCCAAGUCGCGUGAGGGAAGACGGCCCUACGGGUUGUAAACCUCUGUUGUGAGGGAGCAAGGUGAAGGGCGGGAACGGCAGGGAGAGUAGCCGAAGAAAAAGCAGCGGGUAACUGCGGGCCAGCAGCGGCGGUAAUACGGAGGAAGAGAGCGUGAUCCGGAUGUAUUGGGUUUAACGGGUGCGCAGGCGGAUUUUUAAGUCAGCGGUCAAAUCGUGGGGCUCCACCCCAUCCAGCCGUUGAAACUGGGGAUCUAGAGUGUUCGAGAGGUAUCCGGAAUGCGUGGUGUAGCGGU
rnacentral:rRNA from 1 species